rnacentral:rRNA from 1 species
GCAAGUCAAUAUGCUUUGAGUUUUUAACAAAUUGUUAUUUUAUGAUAGAAAACAAGGAUUUUCAAAAGCUAAUACAAUAAAGAUAAGAGUAUUUAUUAACAAAAUUUUAUUAAGGCUAUAGAGAACAAGUACUGAAUAGGAAACAUGAACACAUGUAUUUUAAAAACUUAAAGUAAAUUUUAAAAGUUGUACCUUGUGUAUCAGGGGUAAUUAAAUUGUUUCAGGAAAUUUGAAUUUCCCGAACUAAGGAUAGCUAGUAUUUAAAAUUAGUUUUUGUAGUAUAAAAAUUUAAAAUUUGAUAUUAAAGAUGAAACGUCAGACGAGCCUUAGAUUAUCUGGUUCUUUAAGAAUAAAAUAUAAUUUGAUUGUCAGAUGUUAAUUUAUUUGACAGUAAAGGGUAGGAGGGAUUAGCUUCUUAUCACUAAAAAAAUCAAGUAAUAGGAUAAAAUGUAAUGUGACUUUUCUAGGCUUAAGAGUAGCCAUGAUAGUAAAGUGUUUUAAUUUACAUUUACUGUUAGAACAAUUUAUGUAACCUUUACGAAGUAUUAAGGCAUUAAUAAAAAUAAUAAAAAUUAAGAGAUAAUGAUUAUAUUAGUAAAAUAUAUUUAUAAAAAUAAAGUAAUAAAAUAAGUAAUAAAAUGUAUAAUAAAUAUUUGAAAUAUAAAAGGAACUCGGCAAAAAUUCUUCUUGCCUGUUUAUCAAAAACAUGGCUAUUAUGAGAUUAUUUAUAGUCUAGCCUGCUCACUGAUAGAGAUUAUUAAAUAGCCGCGGUAUCCUGACCGUGCAAAGGUAGCAUAAUCAUUAGUUUUUUAAUUGAAAACUCGUAUGAAUGGUUGGACAAAGAAGAAGCUGUCUCUUAAAUUAUUAUUGAAUUUAACUUUUAAGUGAAAAGGCUUAAAUGUCCUAGAGGGACGACAAGACCCUAUAAAGCUUUAUAAAUUUUAAGAUUUUAUAUAUUUUAUAUAAAAAUAAAUUCUGAGAAAUUUAUUUGGUUGGGGCGACAAUGGUAUAAGUAAAAUAACUGCUAUUAAAAUAAACAAAUAUAUUUGAUUUAUAAAUAAUUGAUCCUUUGUAAGGAUUUUAAGAUUAAGUUACUUUAGGGAUAACAGCGUUAUUUUUCCUGAGAGUCCUUAUCAAAGGAAAAGUUUGCGACCUCGAUGUUGAAUUAAAAUGUCUUUUUAGUGCAGCAGCUAAAAAAGAAGGUCUGUUCGACCUUUAAUAUUUUACAUGAUUUGAGUUCAGACCGGCGGGAGCCAGGUCGGUUUCUAUCUUCUAGGUAUAAGACGAGCAUUUUAGUACGAAAGGAUUGAAUGGUCAAAAUUUUUUUAAAGAUUGAAAU